AACAAUGUUCCUUGAAGACAAAUCAAAUUGAUAGCACCAGAAGUAGCCUUAGUUGUCACAUCCUGAUCAUCAUCUGAAGAUGAAUCCUUAGCAGCUUUAGGUGCUUUUGCUAUAAUAGGAGCCGCAGCGAGAGCUUUAGGCUUAGAGAAAUCCAAAGGAAUAAGCACCUUAUCAACAUGAUAUAUAGCAAGUGUUUUGUCAGAAUAAACAAUCCCUGUGAGUGUAGCAUUAACAGACCC
rnacentral:lncRNA from 1 species